CUUCUACUUGUGGACUGCAUCCUUUGAGAGUUGCGAGCCUGGAUCCUCAGAAAAGGCCCAGGUUUUGACAGCUCCACACUUGCUGGGUGAGGCUGCUGCAGGCCUCGCCGAUGCUGCUUUUUCCUCGAGGCUUUCCUAUCUGUCAUCCAUCCCGUCCUGCCCAGAGAGGACCUUGCGUGUGGGGCGUUCCUUCCCUCUGUGGAUGGAGGCUGUGUGUCAGGAUGGGAUUUACAGCACUGACUCUGAAUGUUUGCAGAAAGCUCUCUUGCUGUCCCCUCUGUGUGGAGUCACUGUGCUGCUUCUUAGGAUGGUGGAGAUGCCCAGGGGUGGACCUGUGCUGCCUGCUCCUGCACAGGUGUAACUUUUAUGGCUGAGUUUCACAAAAAAAAAAAGAACAGGAUCUUAAUGAGAGCAUUAGCAAAGACAAACUGCGAGGGAACUCUCUCCUCAGCACUUUCUAACCCAAGAGCCACCUAACCUGUCUGAGGGUGACCCGUGACAACCUUGCAGAGUGCUGCUGCAGGAGCUUUCAUUUACACCCCAAACACCCAAGGCGUGCAUGCUGCUCUCCUCUGUCUUCAGCUAUUGUGAAGACAGGGCCCCUCCCAGCCUGCUAAGCACCCAAGGGCAGACAUGACACUUGGGGUCAUGACUCCCCCAGCAGCUCCCUGUUGGUGGUUGCCCAGGACCCACAGUGUGCUUGGAUACAGUUUGAGGGGGCUCAGCUCCACAGAAGGUGGCCCUGUGCUGGCACCUCCAGGUUGUCUCAUGGCUGCUUGAGCUCCUGAGUCUGCUCCUUCAUUCUGCAGGCACUUUCCUGUCUCUGGGGUGUCCUGAUGGAUGCCAAGCCAAGUAGCUUAUUGCCAGCCAUUGUGAACUUCAAGUUUCUUCUUGUCUUGUUUGCAACUUCGGAUGCGUUCUGGCAAUUUGACAUGAUGGACUGAUGGGAAUGAAUCUUUGCUAGAUGAGUGCACUGCUUUUUGACUGAUGUCUUAUGAUGAAAAACUGCUGUUUGGUGUUGGCCACCUGGGCUGUCCUUCAGGCGAGCAGGCGGAGCCCCAGCAGCACUUCUACUGUCAGCAGCUGUCAGGUAGGCAGCUCCUGUGGUUGUUGGGGACACAGCACUGUGCCUGCCCAGCUCUGCCAGCAGCACCAGCUCUGCCUUGCUCCUGUGGCUUUCUGUGUGCCUGUCAGGCUGCCUUGCUUUGGUCCUGGGCUGUAUGGCUGUUUUACUGCUGCUUUUCAGCCAGCCUCCAAACCUGCAGGUGUGCUCUCCUGUCGACAACCCUUUUGCCUGCAGUUAAAAGCAGACACCAGAUUGUGGAGAAAAUUAUUGGCACCUGCAAAUUGCAUGCACUUAAAUACCACGCGACUUCAUUUGCAAGUACAAUCGGGUAUUUGGGGACUGCAGGCCUGUGCCUCAUGCAUGUACAUGUCUUCAACAUGCCAGCAGCUGCAACCUGCCCAGCAGACCUGCUGCUGGGGCGUCAGGCUGUCAACACUUGGAGCUCUGUGCCCUGCCCAAAGGCAGCCCUUGCUCUUGCUCUGCCCUCCAGUGGCCCUGGGAAUGGUUCU
ensembl:lncRNA